ensembl:lncRNA
UUUCAUAAUAUGUUCUGUUUUUCUAUCUCGUUUAAUGUACAGAAUCGUUCAGUAGCAGUUUGGAUUAGAGGUAACAAUGGAAAAAUCUCCCACUUCUAAUGUGAAGAGCAUCUUUCGCAGAUUUUCUUUAUUUAGAAAAAGCGAUGGGCACAUUAAAAAGAAACAAUCUAUACGGUCAUUAAAAACAUUUAUAUCAGAGGAUAAAGACGAGAAAGUUACCACAGAGAAAUUUGAAUUUAAGACCACAGAGAUUCCUCUAAAGCCAUGCUCAGUUUUGCAGAUCAAAAAUUAUAUACAAACAGACAUGCUGAAGGAGGCAUAUCUGAACCUGCUUUCCCUGCGCCUGGAGUUCAAGUUAGAACAGAGCGCUCUGGGGGAAGGAGAAUCUCACUCAAAUCUGGUUAAUAAAGAGAAAGACCUUAAUCUGUUGUAUGACGCACUAAGGGACAAAAUGUCUGUCAUUGUAUGCCACUCCAGUGCUCUUCCCUCAUGCAAUAAAGAGCUGCUGGUGUAUGUGGCCACCAUUAUCCUGGAGGAAGAGAAGAGACGGGGAGAGCCAGGAGCGAUGCAGGGAUGGAGGGAAGCAUGGAAGGAUGCGGUACUAAACGGGGUUCGGGAUUCACUGAAGAAAGUUCCUCUGGACAGCCGCGACCAGAACGAUUCCUGGCUGGCAGUGCAUCUGGAGCACCUGGGUAAAGCUGUGGUGGAGGAUUUGCAGAGAGUGGAGACUGAGCUUCUAAGCUCAUAUCCAGCAGACUUUAAUGUGUUUGAAACCUAUGUGUCCUGCCACCAUGAAGCUGUAGGAGAGCAUCUAAAGAGACUUCUGGAAAGCGUGACAGAGCUGAAAGCUUACUACGCUCUUCUAGAUUUCAUUAUUCUUUCCUAUCCCAGGU